CAUUCCUGCAAGCAUCCAUAUACGCUGCAUACAGGAUUCCUAUGUCCUGGGACCCAUUACCCUCUUUAGCAACUUAUGCCCGUCUGGGCACACAGGUCUGUUCUAUUAGACUUGGUCUUGGUCCACGAGUGACCUACCCACUCACCGUCCAACUGGGAACCCUCCCCCUUUCUCUCUGGGGCCAAGGAACUCUGUGCCUGCAGACCGUCUCCUGACGAAGCGAAAGCGAAACUAGUCGAGAUUAGAGACUGUUGGUCUCAUGAUAUCAACUUG